rnacentral:rRNA from 1 species
AGGACGAACGCUGGCGGCGUGCCUAACACAUGCAAGUCGAGCGGGGACAUGCGACGGAUAGGAAGUUUCGGAUGGACUUGAAGAUGCAUUGUCUAGCGGCGGACGGGUGAGUAACGCGUGAGCAACCUGUCCCUUACAGGGGGAUAACACAGCGAAAGUUGUACUAAUACCGCAUAAGACCACGGGAGGACAUCCUUCAGGGGUCAAAGGAGGAAUCCGGUAAGGGGUGGGCUCGCGUCCGAUUAGAUAGUUGGUGAGGUAACGGCCCACCAAGUCGACGAUCGGUAGCCGACCUGAGAGGGUGAUCGGCCACAUUGGGACUGAGACACGGCCCAAACUCCUACGGGAGGCAGCAGUGGGGAAUAUUGGGCAAUGGGGAAACCCUGACCCAGCAACGCCGCGUGAGGGAAGAAGGUUUUCGGAUCGUAAACCUCUGUCCUUGGUGAAGAGGAAGAGACGGUAGCCAAGGAGGAAGCCCCGGCUAACUACGUGCCAGCAGCAGC